AGAGUUUGAUCCUGGCUCAGGAUGAACGCUAGCUACAGGCUUAACACAUGCAAGUCGAGGGGCAGCGGGAAGGAAGCUUGCUUUCUUCGCCGGCGACCGGCGCACGGGUGAGUAACGCGUAUCGAACCUGCCUCAUACUCGGGGAUAACCUUGCGAAAGUAAGACUAAUACCCGAUGUUUUCAUCUCCUCGCAUGAGGAGUUGAACAAAGUUUUUCGGUAUGAGAUGGCGAUGCGUCCCAUUAGCUUGUUGGCGGGGUAACGGCCCACCAAGGCAUCGAUGGGUAGGGGUUCUGAGAGGAAGGUCCCCCACAUUGGAACUGAGACACGGUCCAAACUCCUACGGGAGGCAGCAGUGAGGAAUAUUGGUCAAUGGACGGAAGUCUGAACCAGCCAAGUAGCGUGCAGGAUGACGGCCCUCUGGGUUGUAAACUGCUUUUAGUUGGGAAUAAAGUGCGGUACGUGUACCGUUUUGUAUGUACCAUCAGAAAAAGGACCGGCUAAUUCCGUGCCAGCAGCCGCGGUAAUACGGAAGGUCCAGGCGUUAUCCGGAUUUAUUGGGUUUAAAGGGAGCGCAGGCGGACUCUUAAGUCAGUUGUGAAAUACGGCGGCUCAACCGUCGGACUGCAGUUGAUACUGGGAGUCUUGAGUACACGCAGAGAUACUGGAAUUCAUGGUGUAGCGGUGAAAUGCUCAGAUAUCAUGAGGAACUCCGAUCGCGAAGGCAGGUAUCUGGAGUGUAACUGACGCUGAGGCUCGAAAGUGCGGGUAUCAAACAGGAUUAGAUACCCUGGUAGUCCGCACAGUAAACGAUGAAUACUCGCGGUUGGCGAUAUACAGUCAGCCGCCAAGCGAAAGCGUUAAGUAUUCCACCUGGGGAGUACGCCGGCAACGGUGAAACUCAAAGGAAUUGACGGGGGCCCGCACAAGCGGAGGAACAUGUGGUUUAAUUCGAUGAUACGCGAGGAACCUUACCCGGGCUUGAACUGCCAGUGACGCAUGCAGAGACGCAUGUUUCUUCGGACACUGGCGGAGGUGCUGCAUGGUUGUCGUCAGCUCGUGCCGUGAGGUGUCGGCUUAAGUGCCA
rnacentral:rRNA from 1 species